ensembl:lncRNA
AUGUGGAGCUAUAUACCGGGAGUACCAGAUCAAUGCGGAGCUAUAUACAGGGAGUACCAGAUCAAUGUGGAGUUAUAUACAGGAAGUACCAGAUCAAUGUGGAUCUAUAAACAGGAAGUACUAGUACCGGAUCAAUGUGGAGCUAUAUACAGGAAGUACCAGGACCAGAUCAAUGUGGAGUUAUAUACAGGAAGUAUCAGUACCAGAUAAAUGUGGAGUUAUAUACAGGGAGUACCAGAUCAAUGUGGAGCUAUAUACAGGAAGUACCAGUACCAGAUCAAUGUGGAGUUAUAUACAGGGAGUACCAGAUCAAUGUGGAGCUAUAUACAGGAAGUACCAGUACCAGAUCAAUGUGGAGCUAUAUACAGGGAGUAACAGAUCAAUGUGGAGCUAUAUACAGGGAGUACCAGUACCAGAUCAAUGUGGAGCUAUAUACAGGGAGUGCCAGAUCAAUGUGGAGCUAUAUACAGGGAGUACCAGAUCAAUGUGGAGCUAUAUACAGGAAGUACCAGUACCAGAUCAAUGUGGAGUUAUAUACAGGGAGUACCAGAUCAAUGUGGAGUUAUAUACAGGGAGUACUAGAUCAAUGUGGAGAUAUAUACAGGAAGUACCAGUACCAGAUCAAUGUGGAUCUAUAAACAGGAAGUACCAGUACCAGAUCAAUGUGGAGCUAUAUACAGGGAGUACCAGAUCAAUAUCAAUGUGGAGCUAUAUGCAGGGAGUACCAGAUCAAUGUGGAGCUAUAUACAGGGAGUACC